GACGAACGCUGGCGGCGUGCCUAAUACAUGCAAGUCGAACGCAGUGGGGACGGGUGAGUAACACGUGGGUAACCUCCCAUCAGAGGGGAUAACACUUGGAAACAGGUGCUAAACCGAUACUGAUGGAUGGACCCGCGGUGCAUUAGCUAGUUGGUGAGGUAAAGGCUCAACAAGGCGACGAUACAUAGCCGACCGGAGAGGGGUAGCGGCCACACUGGGACUGAGGCACGGCCCAGACUCCUCCUGGAGGCAGCAGUAGGGAAUCUUCGGCAAUGGACGGAAGUCUGACCGAGCAAAGCCGCGUGAGUGAAGAAGGUUUUCGGAUCGUAAAGCUCUGUUUUUAGAUAAGCGGUAACUAACCAGAAAGGGACGGCUAACUACGUGCCAGCAGCCGCGGUAAUUC
rnacentral:rRNA from 1 species